rnacentral:lncRNA from 1 species
CAGCAGUCGCAGGAGAUACAGUCUCACUAUUCGCUCUUUCCAAUAGAGCCUUUUGGAAGGCGGUGGACAAGAUCCUAACUUCUUGUUAGAAUUGAUUCGAGAGGACAAACAGCUGGCAAGAUGUUAUUCUUAGAUUGUACAGAGGCGUGGGAGCGAACCUUCUCAAAAAGAAAAAAAGAAAAAGGAAAAGAAAUAGAAGAAAAAAAAACAACUAAAAACGUUUUGACGAUGAUGGACCGUUUGGGAAAAGGGAAGUGAUGCUUUGCCGAAAAAAAAAACGUUUGGGAGAAGAGGGGAAUGGAGACAAAAGAAGA